rnacentral:rRNA from 1 species
AGAGUUUGAUCCUGGCUCAGGAUGAACGCUAGCGGCAGGCUUAACACAUGCAAGUCGAGGGGUAUUGAGUAGCUUGCUACUUGAGAGAC